rnacentral:rRNA from 1 species
UACGAAGGGGGCUAGCGUUGCUCGGAAUCACUGGGCGUAAAGGGUGCGUAGGCGGGUUUUAAGUCAGGGGUGAAAUCCUGGAGCUCAACUCCAGAACUGCCUUUGAUACUGAAGAUCUUGAGUCCGGGAGAGGUGAGUGGAAUUCCUAGUGUAGAGGUGAAAUUCGUAGAUAUUAGGAAGAACACCAGUGGCGAAGGCGGCUCACUGGCCCGGUACUGACGCUGAGGCGCGAAAGCGUGGGGAGCAAACAGG